GCCCUGAUAGUGUAGUUGGCCUAUCAUGUGACCCUGUCACGGUCACGACCCGGGUUCGAAUCCCGGUCAGGGCG
rnacentral:tRNA from 3 species